rnacentral:rRNA from 1 species
AGCGAACGCUGGCGGCAGGCUUAACACAUGCAAGUCGAGCGGACCUUUCGGGGUCAGCGGCGGACGGGUGAGUAACGCGUGGGAACGUGCCUUCUGGUCUGGAAUAACCCUGGGAAACUAGGGCUAAUACCGGAUACGCCCUUAUGGGGAAAGGUUUACUGCCGGAAGAUCGGCCCGCGUCUGAUUAGCUAGUUGGUGGGGUAACGGCCUACCAAGGCGACGAUCAGUAGCUGGUCUGAGAGGAUGAUCAGCCACACUGGGACURAGACACGGCCCAGACUCCUACGGGAGGCAGCAGUGGGGAAUAUUGGACAAUGGGCGCAAGCCUGAUCCAGCCAUGCCGCGUGAGUGAUGAAGGCCUUAGGGUUGUAAAGCUCUUUUAUCCGGGACGAUAAUGACGGUACCGGAGGAAUAAGCCCCGGCUAAC